GACGGAGGGUGCUAGCGUUGUUCGGAAUUACUGGGCGUAAAGGGCGCGUAGGCGGCCCUGUCAGUCGGGUGUGAAAGCCCGGGGCUCAACCCCGGAACGGCACCCGAGACGGCAGGGCUGGAGACCGGGAGAGGAGGGUGGAAUAGCCAGUGUAGAGGUGAAAUUCGUAGAUAUUGGCUGGAACACCGGUGGCGAAAGCGGCUCUCUGGGACGGUACUGACGCUGAGACGCGAAAGCGUGGGGAGCAAACAGG
rnacentral:rRNA from 1 species